rnacentral:rRNA from 1 species
GCCUGAUCUAGCCAUGCCGCGUGUGUGAUGAAGGUCUUAGGAUCGUAAAGCACUUUCGCCAGGGAUGAUAAUGACAGUACCUGGUAAAGAAACCCCGGCUAACUCCGUGCCAGCAGCCGCGGUAAUACGGAGGGGGUUAGCGUUGUUCGGAAUUACUGGGCGUAAAGCGUACGUAGGCGGAUCAGAAAGUAAGGGGUGAAAUCCCAGGGCUCAACCCUGGAACUGCCUCUUAAACUCCUGGUCUUGAGUUCGAGAGAGGUGAGUGGAAUUCCAAGUGUAGAGGUGAAAUUCGUAGAUAUUUGGAGGAACACCAGUGGCGAAGGCGGCUCACUGGCUCGAUACUGACGCUGAGGUACGAAAGUGUGGGGAGCAAACAGGAUUAGAUACCCUGGUAGUCCACACCGUAAACGAUGAAUGCCAGUCGUCGGGCAGUAUACUGUUCGGUGACACACCUAACGGAUUAAGCAUUCCGCCUGGGGAGUACGGUCGCAAGAUUAAAACUCAAAUG